GUAGAUAGCAAAGAUAAUGAGUUUAACUGGCCGUCGAGCUCACUUUGCUUCUGAAAGAUUUUUACACUGCUUUUCCAAAUUAACUCCUAUACUUAUAUGUAUCCGCCCAGAGCCACUUUUGCUCUGGGCUUUUUUUU
rnacentral:antisense_RNA from 1 species